AGGGGGAUAAUUUAAUGGCAGAAUACUAGUCUCCAAAACUACAUGUUACAGGUUCAAGUCCUGUUCCCCCUG
rnacentral:tRNA from 1 species